AAUACAAUAAUUAAGUUUCAGUUUUCAAAAUGAAUAAAAAAAAAACCUUCACUAGGCAACCUGCAUAAAUGUAUGGUGUUGAAAAUGUUUAGUAGAAAAAAUAUUGUGGUCCCAUUAUUAUUUAAUUUUUCACAAGAUUUAUAUAUGUUUACGAAUUUUAUUCUGUUAUUACAAAAUAAAAAUAUGUAACGCAAAUUGCCACGAGUAGUAAAAAUAACCGCAAAUGAUAUGUAGUAAAAUUAAUAAAAUAUAAUAAUAAUAAUAAUAAUAAUUGCAUGGACAUAUUGUAACAUAGUUGAUGGAAACGUAUGUGAAAGAAUAGCGGAAACAUAUUGAUUCUUAAAGCUAGAAAUUAAAACAACCUGUAUUAUGAAAACGUAAAACAUUAUCCGAGUCGUUACCUACUCUAAAA